UACGAAGGGGGCUAGCGUUGUUCGGAAUUACUGGGCGUAAAGGGCGCGUAGGCGGUACUUCAAGUCAGGCGUGAAAGCCCCGGGCUCAACCUGGGAACCGCGCUUGAGACUGGAGAACUAGAGUUCGGGAGAGGAUGGUGGAAUUCCCAGUGUAGAGGUGAAAUUCGUAGAUAUUGGGAAGAACACCGAUGGCGAAGGCAGCCAUCUGGACCGGUACUGACGCUGAGGCGCGAAAGCGUGGGUAGCAAACGGG
rnacentral:rRNA from 1 species